rnacentral:tRNA from 1 species
GCCCCGGUGGUACAACUGUUAAGCACUCAGCUGCUAACUGAAAGGCUGGUGGUUCGAACCCACCCAGUAGCU